UUCUAUUGUUUGGUCAGAGUGUUUUACAAUCGACGCGCCACUCUUCAAACACGACGCAGCACACUUUCUUCUCCCUUCUCUGUAAAAAAUUAUAGCAACCGCCGGCUCUGUACCCUUUUCCCAUUGCAUCAACGCCAUGUCUCAAGGAGUCUAUAGCGGCGGAGACGGUGACGGCGGCGGAAACACUCAUGGGGCAAUCUCUAAGUUAUACUUUUGUUACCAGUGUGAACGCACGGUCUCUAUUAGACCUUCACCUACCGACUCAUCCGAACUCUUUUGCCCCGAUUGUAGUGGUGGCUUCCUUGAAGAAUACGAAAACCCUAACCCUAGCCCAACGACGCAAAAUCCGUUUCUCGCCUUUGAUGAUGAUGCCUCUCCUUUUGCUCCUUUCUCCAGUGGGUUUCCCCUUGUAUUCUCCACUACAUCCCGUGGCUCCGGCGCGGCUACUGGCGAUUUUCAGAAUCCGACGGAUCUCUCUGCUCUCUUUGGCGGUCCUCUUUCACGAUCUGGAGGCUUCCAGAACCCUGGUGAGUUCAAUCCUUUUGCAUUCCUUCAGAAUUAUCUCAGCACUCUACGAGCAGGUGGCGCCAACAUCCAGUUUGUUAUUGAAAACAAUAGUGAUGGUGAUCCGUCGGGGUUUCGUCUCCCUGCGAAUCUAGGAGACUACUUUAUUGGCCCGGGCUUAGAGCAACUGAUCCAACAGCUUGCUGAAAACGAUCCUAAUCGAUAUGGCACCCCCCCUGCGUCAAAAUCUGUGAUUCAGAACCUACCUAACAUCAAGAUUACUAGUGAUCUGUUGGAGUCAGAUUAUUCUGAUUGUGCGGUGUGUAAAGACAGCUUUGAGCUUCAUGAGCAGGCCAAGCAGUUGCCGUGUAAGCACGUUUAUCAUCAGGAUUGCAUCGUACCGUGGUUGGAGCUACAUAACUCGUGUCCUGUUUGUCGGUAUGAGUUACCCACUGAUGACCAGGAGUAUGAGAACAGGUCUCGCGAAGGUUCUACUGGUGGAACUUUGGGUGCUGCAGGGCCAGGGGUGGCUUCUGGCAGUGGUGAUCCUCAGGAGAAUCCCAAUACCCCAAAUAGUAUGGAAAGGAGGUUUAGGAUUAACUUGCCUUGGCCUUUUACUGGGUUUGGCACAUCUGCCGAGUCAAGCAAUAGUGGAGCAGGUAACAACAACUCAGGCAAUUCCAACUCAGGAAGUGGUGGUCAGGCAAGACAGGAAGAUCUUGGCUGAUGAUCGUGGAAUGAAGGAAGAAUGGACCAUUGGAGUGGUUGGUUGAACAUACAAUACUACUGCGAAUUCUGCAUCUUCUUCUUCUUAUAGAAGUCUUUUCAUUCUAUACAAAAUCAAAACAACUAGCAAGCAAGAUGCUAGCAAUUACAAAGUACAAACAAAUUUUGGGCUACAAGACCAAGCAACCCAAUCCACACAUUGAAAUUUUGCUAUAUGUUUUGAUCAAGUAAAAAUACUAGCUUGGAUUUUAUCCGCUACUUUCAUAGGUGUUGUUUUUGAUUAAUUGAACACCAACGCAUUCGUAGCCUUUCAAAUGUGAAAAAUAAUCGAGUAAAAUACUAGCUUGAAUUU